CUGAUUGGUUGUCAGCUAAAGUGUAUGUUAGUAUAAUACGAAUGUGCCACGUCAAACGUUCAAAACUAACAUAGCUCUUCGUCUAGUAAACGUUAGUAUACAGAUCUACUGAACAAGGUUCCUCAAAAACAUGGGCUCGAAAGUUUUGCUCGUUUGCCUCUUAUGUGUGACCCUAGGGCUGAGUUUGUGUUCGAGUGCGCCAACAGCUUAUGCCAUUGAACAAUUCCGCUCUAUUUUGAUGGAACUCAUUCAAAGCGGGAUCAAACCUGCAACGACAACUAGAGAAUUAUUGGUACGAAUGGUAGAAUGCGACGUGGGGAAUUGUAGGGAUUGGAAAUAAAAAUUUGGACCUUAAUUAGUAAUCUAUUUGAUUAGCAAAAUGUUACCACUGCUAAAACACAGAUAUUAAACUGAUAAGACUACAUUUGAACAAAAUUAGUUUUAAAAUUAGAUUUCUUGUUUAUGACACGGUAAGCAAAAUUAAAAUAAAUAUCUCUGCUUUGGA